rnacentral:lncRNA from 1 species
GUUGGCUGUUAUACAAUUAUGUCAGUUAAAAAGUUAUUUAUUUAAACAGUUAAAUAAGUAGAGGUGUUUUGGUCGAGUAUGGUUCAGACUAGUCGAGUAUUGUUCAGACCUUUGGUUAAGUAUGGUUGAGACUGGAAAAAAUAGGUCGAGUACAUGUCGAGAAUGGGUUAAGACUGUUUCAGACUGGUCGAGUAAUAGUUCAGAC